rnacentral:rRNA from 1 species
AUUGAACGCUGGCGGCAUGCCUUACACAUGCAAGUCGAACGGUAACAGGUCUUCUGAUGCUGACGAGUGGCGAACGGGUGAGUAAUACAUCGGAACGUGCCCGAUCCUGGGGGAUAACGAAGCGAAAGCUUUGCUAAUACCGCAUACGAUCUACGGAUGAAAGCAGGGGACCGCAAGGCCUUGCGCGAACGGAGCGGCCGAUGGCAGAUUAGGUAGUUGGUGGGAUAAAAGCUUACCAAGCCGACGAUCUGUAGCUGGUCUGAGAGGACGACCAGCCACACUGGGACUGAGACACGGCCCAGACUCCUACGGGAGGCAGCAGUGGGGAAUUUUGGACAAUGGGCGAAAGCCUGAUCCAGCCAUGCCGCGUGCAGGAUGAAGGCCUUCGGGUUGUAAACUGCUUUUGUACGGAACGAAAAGACUCUGGUUAAUACCUGGGGUCCAUGACGGUACCGUAAGAAUAAGCACCGGCUAACUACGUG